UACGGAGGGUGCAAGCGUUAAUCGGAAUUACUGGGCGUAAAGCGCGCGUAGGUGGCUUGAUAAGCCGGUUGUGAAAGCCCCGGGCUCAACCUGGGAACGGCAUCCGGAACUGUCAGGCUAGAGUGCAGGAGAGGAAGGUAGAAUUCCCGGUGUAGCGGUGAAAUGCGUAGAGAUCGGGAGGAAUACCAGUGGCGAAGGCGGCCUUCUGGACUGACACUGACACUGAGGUGCGAAAGCGUGGGUAGCAAAC
rnacentral:rRNA from 2 species